UACAGAGGUCUCAAGCGUUUGUUCGGAUUCAUUGGGCGUAAAGGGUGCGUAGGCGGCGCGGUAAGUCGGGGUGUGAAAUCUCGGAGCUUAACUCCGAAACUGCAUUCGAUACUGCUGUGCUUGAGGACUGGAGAGGAGACUGGAAUUUACGGUGUAGCGGUGAAAUGCGUAGAUAUCGUAAGGAAGACCAGUGGCGAAGGCGGGUCUCUGGACAGUUCCUGACGCUGAGGCACGAAGGCCAGGGGAGCAAACGGGG
rnacentral:rRNA from 1 species